AACCUUGACUGGACUGGAACUCACUCUGUAGACCAGGCUGGCUUCAAACUCAAAGAUCCACCUGCCCCUGCUGGGUGCUGGGACUAAAGGCCUGCACCACACGCCUGACUGGUGAAUUGUCUUCUAAUUCUAAAUCUGGUACUAAGUGCUCUAAGAAAGCUCAAGAGGCUCACUGGUGUUGUGGUGGCCCAGGGCGUCAGUAGUGCCGUGACCUCCAGCAAGCAUAUGGCCUGGCAGUGGAGACUGACUAACCCUAAGUUUCCCCUCGUUGAUGUGCUCAUAGAUCGCGUCUGCGCCCUGAUCCAAGGCACGCUCGAAGAACAGGGCGCCCACUGCGAUGGUGAGGGCGAAGGUGGAAGUUCUGCGGAACAGCAAGGAGUACAGACGCGAAGGGAUCGUCGGCAACGACAUGUUGCCUCACUGCCGAACUCGCGCCACUGCCAGAUGUAUUUCUUUAUGUUCCGGUGCCACAUGCAUGCCUGGUACCUGAGGAUGACAGAAGAGGACAUCAGGUCCCCUGGAACUUGAGUUGCAAUUGUAAGCCACCUUGUAGGUGCUGGGAAGCAAAGCUGGGUCCCCUGGAAAAGCAUCCAAUGCUCUUAACUGCUGAGCCGUUUCCCAGCCCCCUUUUAAAGGUGUUUUCUUUUGUUUAACUUGC
ensembl:antisense 4930481A15Rik RIKEN cDNA 4930481A15 gene